GUUGCAAAAUUUAUAAUUUUAAUGAUUGAUAUGAGACGUUUUCUUAUUUAAUAGUGUAAAGAUAUCUGAAUAAAUUGAAUUUUAGUUGGAAAAUUUUUUAAACUAUCUAAAACAAGAUAUAUACUCUCGAUCUUGAUUACAAGUUUUCUAUCGUCACUUUUUAAAGAAUAUUUAUUUUCAGCCGUUCAUUUUGUUUCUACUUGAUGGGCAAGAGAACAAUACCGGAAAAAUAUGAAAUUUGAUUUCUAGAUGCUUAAGUGGUAUAAAUCAUAUUCAACAGUGCCGAUCGUUGAUUUGGAGGUUCCAUCAUAAAAAAUAAAUGGGUGGCAAAAGAGUCCGUUUUCUACCGAUAUCACCACUUUUUGUAAGAUUUUUUAUUUUCAGUCGUUAAUUUUGAACACUUUCGAUCGGUAUGUAAAUGAUACAAAAAAAUCGCAAAAUUUAUUUUCUAGAUGUGAGACCCCAGAUAGUCCUAUAUAUAAGAUAUAAUAGGGCUAAACUCUUAACCCGGCUUAAGCAUUUUGGGUGGUGGCUAGACCCAAGAGGUUAAGAGAGUUAAGCGUGCUAGGACGGGAGU
rnacentral:lncRNA from 1 species